GACGAACGCUGGCGGCGUGCUUAACACAUGCAAGUCGAACGGAAAGGCCCUGCUUUUGUGGGGUGCUCGAGUGGCGAACGGGUGAGUAACACGUGAGUAACCUGCCCUUGACUUUGGGAUAACUUCAGGAAACUGGGGCUAAUACCGGAUAGGAGCUCCUGCUGCAUGGUGGGGGUUGGAAAGUUUCGGCGGUUGGGGAUGGACUCGCGGCUUAUCAGCUUGUUGGUGGGGUAGUGGCUUACCAAGGCUUUGACGGGUAGCCGGCCUGAGAGGGUGACCGGCCACAUUGGGACUGAGAUACGGCCCAGACUCCUACGGGAGGCAGCAGUGGGGAAUAUUGCACAAUGGGCGGAAGCCUGAUGCAGCAACGCCGCGUGCGGGAUGACGGCCUUCGGGUUGUAAACCGCUUUCGCCUGUGACGAAGCGUGAGUGACGGUAAUGGGUACAGAAGCACCGGCUAACUACGUGCCAGCAGCCGCGGUGAUACGUAGGGUGCGAGCGUUGUCCGGAUUUAUUGGGCGUAAAGGGCUCGUAGGUGGUUGAUCGCGUCGGAAGUGUAAUCUUGGGGCUUAACCCUGAGCGUGCUUUCGAUACGGGUUGACUUGAGGAAGGUAGGGGAGAAUGGAAUUCCUGGUGGAGCGGUGGAAUGCGCAGAUAUCAGGAGGAACACCAGUGGCGAAGGCGGUUCUCUGGGCCUUUCCUGACGCUGAGGAGCGAAAGCGUGGGGAGCGAACAGGCUUAGAUACCCUGGUAGUCCACGCUGUAAACGGUGGGUACUAGGUGUGGGGUCCAUUCCACGGGUUCCGUGCCGUAGCUAACGCUUUAAGUACCCCGCCUGGGGAGUACGGCCGCAAGGCUAAAACUCAAAGGAAUUGACGGGGCCCCGCACAAGCGGCGGAGCAUGCGGAUUAAUUCGAUGCAACGCGUAGAACCUUACCUGGGUUUGACAUGGAUCGGGAGCGCUCAGAGAUGGGUGUGCCUCUUUUGGGGUCGGUUCACAGGUGGUGCAUGGCUGUCGUCAGCUCGUGUCGUGAGAUGUUGGGUUAAGUCCCGCAACGAGCGCAACCCUUGUUCACUGUUGCCAGCACGUUAUGGUGGGGACUCAGUGGAGACCGCCGGGGUCAACUCGGAGGAAGGUGGGGAUGACGUCAAGUCAUCAUGCCCCUUAUGUCCAGGGCUUCACGCAUGCUACAAUGGCUGGUACAGAGAGUGGCGAGCCUGUGAGGGUGAGCGAAUCUCGGAAAGCCGGUCUCAGUUCGGAUUGGGGUCUGCAACUCGACCUCAUGAAGUCGGAGUCGCUAGUAAUCGCAGAUCAGCAACGCUGCGGUGAAUACGUUCCCGGGGCU
rnacentral:rRNA from 1 species